CCUACGGGAGGCAGCAGUGGGGAAUAUUGCGCAAUGGGCGAAAGCCUGACGCAGUGACGCCGCGUGAGGGAUGAAGGUCUUCGGAUCGUAAACCUCUGUCAGCAGAGAAGAACGGUCACUGUGCUAAUCAGCAGUGAAUUGACGGUACCUGCAAAGGAAGCACCGUCUAACUCCGUGCCCGCAGCCGCGGUAAUACGGAGGGUGCGAGCGUUAGUCGGAAUUACUGGGCGUAAAGCGCUCGUAGGCGGUAUGGCAAGUCAAGGGUGAAAUCCCCGAGCUCAACGUGGGAACUGCAUUUGAAACUGGCAAACUGGAGUGUGGGAGAGGAUAGUGGAAUUCCAGGUGUAGGAGUGAAAUCCGUAGAUAUCUGGAGGAACAUCAGGGGCGAAGGCGACUAUCUGGCACAUAACUGACGCUGAUGAGCGAAAGCGUGGGUAGCAAACAGGAUUAGAUACCCGUGUAGUC
rnacentral:rRNA from 1 species